rnacentral:rRNA from 1 species
CGUGCCAGGCAGCCGCGGUAAUACGUAUGUCCCGAGCGUUAUCCGGAUUUAUUGGGCGUAAAGCGAGCGCAGACGGUUUAUUAAGUCUGAUGUGAAAGCCCGGAGCUCAACUCCGGAAUGGCAUUGGAAACUGGUUAACUUGAGUGCAGUAGAGGUAAGUGGAACUCCAUGUGUAGCGGUGGAAUGCGUAGAUAUAUGGAAGAACACCAGUGGCGAAGGCGGCUUACUGGACUGCAACUGACGUUGAGGCUCGAAAGUGUGGGUAGCAAACAGGAUUAGAUACCCUGGUAGUCCACGCCGUAAACGAUGA